rnacentral:misc_RNA from 1 species
AUUCUUCAACCCCACCGUUUCUUGUAAGCGCGUGGGUGCUUGGAUUCUGAGCGUUGCUGAUUAUUAGCUCGUUCGUAAUGCAUUAGCAUCCCGAUGACAAGUUUGGAUUGACUUGGCGUAAUAGACUAUUCGCUAAGGAGUAAGUGGGUCCUCCCACUGAGCCAACUCGUUUCAGGAAGCUUCUAAUCCCCAAAGUCUACCUUUUAGA